UGAGUAAACUGAUUCACCUUCAAGGGAUGGAAAAAUUACAGUGAAUCACUGGUAAAUAACCUACAGGAUAAUAUGGAAUCUAUUUCCAAUCAUCAAUGUAGACUCCAGCGAGCUGAAUCACUGUCUGCCGCCUCCAUGAGCAGCUGUCCACAGUAAUGGAAACUUAUCAGUGACUGGUUGGAGAUGAUUUUCACAGGCACCAACUUCAUUGACAGCCACUCAAGUGUCCAGAAAACAGCAGUCAUCAUGUGACACCUGCAGAAAACAACCUAACGCGCGCAGCUGAUACUGACGAUAACGUGACGUCAACUUAUGUAGAGCCGGCCCCUAAAAUGAAGUCAUUAUCAUCAUUCCUAGCAAAGCUCAAGCAUGGUAGGAGAAGACGUCCUCCGUGGAUCCCUAAAGAGGCUGGAUAAAGGAGCUUCGCUAUCAGCUUUUCAGAUGCUGCGCAGUGCCACAACAGGCUUUGUUGAGCAUGCCAAAGCAGAGGAUAAGGAAAAUCAGAGUGCUAGGAGGAAGAUGACUGAUCACAAGACAUACAUUUUCAACAGCGGGCAGCUAAUCAGUGAGUGAUGCACCUUGGGACUGCGUAGCGCUCACACUCCAGGUGAAAUGACUCAUGUGUUAGCUUUAGUUGGCUUUCUUUGGGCAUAUUGCAAUGGUAAAGUAUUCAAACUAUUUAAUUUUUCCAUGCAAUUCUAAACUGUGAGCCACAACUUUCCUGUCCUUCAACUCAUCCGUGCUAGUGUGAUGUGCAAAAAUAUUGAACCUGGGAAAGUAGAGUAUAUUUGUGUGUAAUGAAAGAAUGAAAACAAUGUAUGAGUUUGCAGUGCAUCGUUCCUGUUCUGUCACCUCGAAAGCCAUAAUUCAAUAGCCAGCUAAUGCAAUGUUUCUUCUCGUUUGUUUCCUCUGCUAGUGCAUUUAUCCAUCUGAACAUAAACGCAUAUCAAUGCGCCG
rnacentral:lncRNA from 1 species